rnacentral:piRNA from 1 species
UAAACAGUGUCCUUAGCAGCGCGUUACCA